AGUAGGUUGUUAGUAGAACAAAUGGUUAAGAAUUCAAAGGUUCAUAACCUUUAAAAUCUGCUAGCCAACGGUCCAUCUUUUGGUAGGAUAAAGAAGUUGAGAAAAGGGAGAUCAGGGCCAGACUAUGAGAGUCAUAAGUCAGGAUAAGCUUGGUGCUAUCUCUUUUUUUUCUUUACUUUUAUUAUUUGCUUAUGAAGAAUUGUGAUUGAGAGAAGUAUUGUUGAAACUAUGAUUAGAAUAUUAUGGAAUAUGACUUUGGAUUGACCGUUUUGGAAAAAAUCUAUGACCUUGAAAAUUGAGAUUAUCGAAUUGAGUUGUCUUAAGUGAGGAUAUUGAAUUCUAUGUGAUGAAUUGAGAAACUGAAUAUAAUAAGAAAGCUAGAGAUCAGUAAUUGAAUAUAUAUAAAUUGCAAAGAGAAUAAGUGGGAGAUGAACUCAUAAGAAUAUGAAAGUAUUGUUGAAUUGAUAGUCAUAGAAUGGAUUUUGUAUUGAAUUAAGACAAAAGUAGUAAGCCUUGGAGUUUUGUAGUUUGAUAAUUGAUUUCAGAUAGCCAGAGUACAGUCAAUUGUGACACUAAUAGACCCAAUUCAUAUAACCAGUCUUUCUCCAUGUUCAAAUCUACCUCUAUUAGUUCAAUUGCUUUGGUAUAUUGAAACUUGAACACAACGAGAACAAAAUUUUGAUGCUGCUGCCGGGGAAAUGAUAACAAUAUGAAAUAUUAGAAAUUGAUUGUAUGGGAGCUGGAAUUAUAUAUUGAAUGAGAACGUGAGAAGAACUAGUUUUAGGAUUACAAAUAUAUGAGUUAUAAUUGAAGGCAAUAUUGAAUUUGUAAAGAAGAAUGAAAGAUUAUGAGUGAUAAUCAUGAAGGGAAAGAUUAUCAAAGAAUUAAUCGAUAAGCAAAAGAAAGACAAGAAUAAUUAUUCAUAAGAAAUUUCCUAUAGGAAUGACAAAAAGGAAUUAUAGGUCCAAGUAAAACCAAAGGAAGAAAAAUUCAAAUUCAAAUAGCAAGGAGACCAAUGAUAACACCAAUGGCCGUAGGAGUGCCAAAAGUACCAAUUGUGGUAUAAAUAGGAGCAGUAGGAGACCGCACCACAAGUGUAGCAAUAUUACCUAGUUUUAGUGGUUGGCUGGGCUCUAAUCUUGAUCACCAUAUAUCUCAAUUCUUUACAAUUUACGUGGCUAAUAAUAGUAGAACUGAAGAUAUUUGGUUGAGAUGGUUGCGAAUAACUUUAAAAGAUAUAACUUUUGAAUGGUAUAAUGAGCAACUAGAGGGUAGAUUUUUCAAUUGGGAGGCCUUAAAGAAUGUCUUCAUAAUCCAUUUUAGACCAAUUGGAUUUGAAGAUCGGCUUAGAGAAAGUUUUAUGAAUAGCAGGUGAUUUGCGGGGGAAUCAGUAGAGUCCUAUUAUGGCCGGGUCGCGAAUAUACUUCGUAAAUGGCCAAAUAAUCAAAUGCCAGAUGCGUUUAUAUUGUCGAUAUUAAUCAAUGGUUUACAUCCACCAGAAAUAAAAAUAUUUGUAAUAGAGGCUCGAUCAGCUACGAUAGAGGCAUCGUUGGUACGAGCAAAGAUGUUGGAAGAAUGUCAUUAUGACCAAUUGUUAACAGUGGGGACCAUGAUGAUUCCAAGUUCAAGAAGCCAACAAAUACAAUUGAGAAAUGUGUCAAUGGAUAAUUAUCCACAAAUGGUUGACUCCAAUGUGAAGAAUGUUAUGUUGCAAAAAUCAAUUAAUGCUACCCCACUCCAAGCAAUAGUGCCAAUAACAAUGACAUCUUAUUUUACAUCACCAACCUAUCAAAAACCAAAGUUGUUCACAAAUGCAACUAUUAAAGAUUCAAAUGAAGCCUUGUUAUUAAAUCUAACAAAAAAGAUGGAAGAAUUGGCAGCGAAUCUAGCUAAGUAUAAGGAGAAACAACAUAAGCUUUCUAAUAUGAGACGUAAUGUAUGCUAUAAUAAUUGUAAAGGACAAGGUAAUUUUGAUACGGAAUGUCCAUCAUCAAGACAAACGGGUCUUCAAUGUACAUUUUGUGGAGAAAAGCACCCUACCCAAAAUUGUUGUCAUUUACAAAGGCAACAACAAUUAAAUAUCCAAAAUUUAAUAUAGCCAACUAAUUGGGAUGUUAAUCAAGUACAGAUUGGAAAUAUGGGUUGUUGUCACGGCCAUAAUCAUGUAAGCUAAUAAUUACAUAUAGAAAUAGGUAGAAGUAAGUAAAAGUAGAUAAAAGUAAGUUAAUUAUAUAAUAUUUAAUAUAAAAGCUUCCUAGAAACUUCCUAGACGCUGCUUUGACUUCAUAGGUGUCUUUAAUUGACUUUUUGGAUUAGAAACGUGGUCAACAAGUUGGCCAUGUGCCACACAUGUUGUUAGCUUGAAGAUCAAGCUAACUAUGUGGCCCACACGUAGAAAAACUUGCCUUGUAAGUCAAGGCAUGUGUCUUACAAAGUCAACACAUAUUGGAGGUCCUAUAGAACGUCGCCACGUAGCCCCUAGUUAGAUAGUAUAUAUAGAGACAAGAGUGUAGGCUUCUUCACUCUUGUCAACUCCUUUCUUGCUUCUAGUCCAGGUUCAAGAGUCUUUAGUUUCUUGUCUUGUGGCAAUAGCCAUUCCAGUUUCCUUUUAAUAUACCUACUUGUUUAUAUUUUGACUUAUUAUAUCGAGAUAGCCUUUUGGUGUAUAUUUUCCCUCAUCGAGUCUUUGUCCUUGACAGAUUGACAAGAGUACACUUACAAUAUCAGAGCUUUGUUUUUUCUUGAGUAAGAGUGGAUUACCCCUUUCUCUUGACAAGACAUAAGCGUAUUAGAAGUUUGCGGAUUACCCACUUCUAAACUGAUAUUGUUCUUAGUAUCUUCUUUGUUAUCAAGACUUUCUUUUCUUUUGUCUUGAGCAAUAUCAAACAAAUUUUUCUUCUUAGUGUCAUUAUGGCAGAACUUGUUGAAAUGAAGAGUGCAAUGGCACAAAUGCAAGAGCAAAUGAGGGAGUUAAUGCUUGCGAUGCAUCAACUCAAUUCACCAACACAUGAAAGAACAAGAAUAGCAGAAAGUGGAGAUAUAGAGAUGAUCGGAGCUGCUUCAACAUCUACAACAAAUCACAUUCCUUCUCCAAUUGUACAACACCCUAUAAGCAUUAGAGAACCAAGAAUUGCCUUACCUGAGAAAUUUGAUGGUACGAGAUCAAAGUUUCGAGGGUUCAUCAAUCAAGUACAAUUGGCAAUUGAACUUCAACCGCAAAGCUAUCCAACUCCAGGAUCACAAGUCAGGUUUAUUGGCACUCUACUUUCUGGUUCUGCAUUAUCGUGGUUUUCAUCUUUUCUUGAACAACGAAAUCCAAUAUUGGACAAUUUGGAAGCUUUUUUGGCAGAGUUUCGAUCUAUGUAUGGUGAACACGAUGCAACUCGUGUUGCAACAAAUAAGAUCCGAAUUCUGCGACAAGGAAAUCGUCCAGUAACAGUAUAUGCUUCACAAUUUCGACAACUUGCAAUUGACAUCAAGUGGGAUGAUGCUGCACUCAUCAGUCAAUUUCUUUAUGGAUUGCAAUACGAAGUAAAGAAAUUGAUGCUCAACUUACCUGAUCCUCAAACUUUGAGUCAAGCAAUCGAUUUUGCGGUAAAAUGUGAUAAUCGACUUUUUGAAUUUCGAUCUGAGAAUCAUUCACGGGAACCUCAACGUUAUUACUCAAUGGCAACAUCAACAUCUUUGCCAAACGUACAUUCGGAAGUAGAAGACAUGCAAAUUGACGCGUUACGUUUUAAACCCCUAACUGAGCAAGAAAAGAUUCGUCAUCGUCAAGAAGGAUUAUGUUUAUAUUGCGGAGAACCUAAACACACUGCUCAACAUUGUCCAAAGAAACGACGCAACUAUAAAAUGAGGGAUACGACGGUCAAAGAAGACAACAUGUCGGAAAACGGAUUCGUCCAGCUACAAUAGGGACCGUGCAGCUGGAACCUUGUACAAUUCCUAAUGAAGGUCCUAUCCUCUCCUCAGAACCCUCUCCUUGUUUUAUAAUAGACCUAUAUUUAGGACCUAAGAAUUACAAAGCCUCUGCUUUAUUAGAUUCGGGAGCCUCAGCAUGUUUUUUAGAUGAACAAUUUGUUAAAAGUCGUAAAAUAUCCUUUGUACAGAAACCUAAACCAGUACAUGUAGAAGUCAUAGAUGGUCGUCCCUUGUCUUCUGGAGAUGUCACUCAUGAAACUCAUCCUAUAAAAGUAACAAUAGACGGUCAUGAUAGCUACAUAGCUUUUAACAUAAUUAAAUCCCCGUCUAAUCCAGUUAUUUUAGGUUUAUCCUGGCUAGAAAAAUAUAACCCUCGAAUAGAUUGGAAUUCACGUAAACUUGACUUUUCCAAAAGCGUUAUUAAUAGUUCUACGAACCAAGUAAAAAAUUAUAAGUCUAGUACACUAAAACUCGUACUGAUAGGUGCAAAAGCAUUUAUACACGCAGCAAAAGAAGGAUCAACUUUUGCUAUUUAUGCUGCACCUAUUUCUGAAAACGUAAAGACUUCAAGUGGCAUUCCAAGUCAAUAUCAGGAGUAUCAAGACGUUUUUGAGAAAAAGAAUGCAGAUAUUCUUCCUGAGCAUCGCCCAUAUGAUUGUUCAAUCGACCUCAAGGAAGGAACUCUGCCACCAUUUGGACCAAUUUACAGUUUAUCGCAAGAUGAGAUGGCUGAACUCAAGACAUAUAUUGACGAGAAUUUAGCGAAGAAUUUCAUACGCCAUUCAAAAUCUCCAGCAGGAGCUCCAAUUCUAUUCGUAAAGAAAAAAGAUGGAUCUUUACGAAUGUGUGUUGAUUAUCGAGGACUCAACAAGAUCACAAUCAAGAACAGGUAUCCAUUACCUUUGAUAUCAGGACUCCUUGACCAGUUGAAUCAAGCUAAGAUCUAUACAAAAAUAGAUCUAAGAGGAGCAUAUAAUCUAGUACGGAUCAAAGAAGGAGAUGAAUGGAAGACUGCGUUUCGAACCAGGUAUGGAUAUUUCGAAUAUAAUGUCAUGCCCUUUGGACUCACGAAUGCACCAGCUGCUUUUCAACAUCUCAUGAAUGAUAUAUUUCGUGAAUUCUUAGACAAUUUUGUCGUCUGCUAUCUAGACGAUAUCCUGAUCUAUUCCAAGAACGUCGAAGAACAUGAAAUACAUGUUCGUCAAGUAAUUCAAAAACUCAGAGAUGCAGGAUUGUACGCCAAGAUGGAAAAGUGUGUAUUUCACACUACUCAAGUUGACUUUUUAGGAUACAUCAUUUCAAAUGAUGGUCUCAUGAUGGAUUCUAAGAAAGUCCAAACAAUCGUGGAUUGGAAGAUUCCAAGGACGGUAAGAGAUGUCCAAUGUUUCUUGGGAUUUGCCAAUUACUAUCGGAUCUUCAUCAAAGAUUUCUCACGAGUUGCAGCUCCACUUACACGCUUGACUAGUAAAGAUAAAUUUCAAUGGAAUCAAGAAGCGGAAGCAGCAUUUGAAGCCUUGAAGACAUCGUUUGUCUCUGCACCAGUCUUAUAUCGUGUUGACUUUUCCAAGGCAUUUUUUAUGGAAACAGAUGCAUCAGAUUUUGCCUUGGGUGCAGUUUUAUCACAAAUGAGAACAGAUGACAAACUCCAUCCGAUAGCUUUUCAUUCAAGAAAAUUCUCAGCAGCCGAGAUCAAUUAUGAGAUCCACGAUAAAGAACUUCUUGCGAUCGUGGAUUCCUUUCAAGAAUGGCGUCAUUAUCUAGAAGGCGCUUCUAGUCCAGUCACUGUGUAUACAGAUCACAAGAACCUCGAGUAUUUCAUGUCAGCACGCGUGUUGAAUCGUCGUCAAGCUCGUUGGAGUAUGUCUUUGUCAUGAUUCGAGUUCAUUAUCACUUAUCGACCAGGAAAACAACAAGGUUUAUCCGAUGCCCUAUCUAGACGUUCUUAUUUUGCACCAAAAGAAGGAGAUGCAGCUUUUGAGCAACAAAGAACGGUCCUCUUGAAACCGGAGCAAUUUCAUCUCCGAGCAAUGAAAUCAACAUUGACUGUUGAUUCAACUUUUCUCAAGCAAAUCCAGUCCAGUAUGUCCUCAGACCCUCUUGUUUAUGAUAUCGAGAAUAAUUCUUCCGAGUCUCAUGAUCCUUCUAAGUUUGAGUUCAAGAAUAAUCUAUUAUAUUUUGAAGGACGCCUAUAUGUUCCAGAAGGAGAAGCACGUUUAUGUGUUCUUCAAGCACGUCAUGACUUUCCAGCAGCAGGGCACUUUGGAUAUAAUAAGACUUUGGAACUCAUAUCAAGAGAUUUUUGGUGGCCACAAAUGUGGAAGUCAGUCAAAGACUUUGUACAAUCAUGUGAUAUUUGUUCAAGAUCAAAAAUUCCUCGACAUCGACCUUACGGACUUCUUCAGCCAUUACCUAUACCAGAACAACCAUGGUCUUCUGUUUCUAUGGAUUUCAUCAUAGAUCUUCCAAGCUCAAGAUCUUAUGAUUCUAUAUUUAUGAUAGUAGAUCGUUUCACCAAGAUGGCACAUUUUGUGCCAUGUACAAAAUCUAUCAUAGGUGAAGAAACAGCUAAGCUUUUCAUUGAUAAUAUCUAUCGCUAUCAUGGAUUACCUAAAGAUAUCAUAUCGGAUAGGGGAACUCAAUUUGUGUCAAGAUUUUGGAAGACCCUUUUCAAGAUUUUAAAAGUGGACAUAAAGCUAUCUUCGGCUUUCCAUCCUCAAACUGAUGGACAAACAGAGCGCGUAAACCAAGUCUUGGAGCAAUAUUUAAGGUGUACUAUCAACUACCAACAAGAUGAUUGGACAACCCUUCUGCCAUUGGCAGAGUUUGCUUAUAAUAAUACGGUACAUUCUUCCACGCAACAAACACCUUUCUUUGCCAAUUAUGGCUAUCAUCCACGACUUGAUACUUUUGAUUUUUCAAAAGUUGAUAAUCUUGCAGCAGAAGAUAUGGCAAAUCGGUUGUCAGAGUUACAUGCAAUAAUGAAGAUACAAUUGAAGGAAGCUCAAGAACGACAAAAAAUAAACGCAGAUCUAUAUCGUAAGGAGCAACCACAAAUCAACGUGGGUGAUAAGGUAUGGCUACUUCGUCGCAAUAUCAAGACUACUCGACCUUGUGACAAGUUGGACUAUCGUAGGCUUGGCCCCUUUUCUGUUUCUGAACAGAUCAACCCAGUUGCAUAUCGGUUACAUCUACCGGAGUCAAUGAAGAUCCAUCCUGUAUUCCACGUGUCUCUUCUUGAACCAUAUAAGACAGUAGAUAUACAAGGAAGAAGACAAAUGCCAUCGCCUCCUAUAGAAGUAGAUAAUAAUGAAGAAUUUGAGGUGGAAGAGAUAUUAGACUCAAGGCGGCGCCAAAAUAAGCUGGAAUAUCUUGUUCAUUGGCGCGGAUAUGAUAUUAGUGAACGCACAUGGGAGCCAUCCAGGAAUCUAGCAAAUGCAUCAGCUAAAGUCAAAGUUUUUCAUCAACGACAUCCAUCAAAACCAAGAUGAAAAUCUCUCUUAUAAAAGAGACAAGAUUGAGGCAAGAUAACAUUCAAUUUCCUAUCCUUGUUUGUAACUUCUUUACAUUUGUGAUGCUAAUUAGAUGGAGAGCCAACAACCAGCGGAUUCAACCCAAGAACCUUCGUUUGCUGACCUGCCGGACGAGACAUUACGAUUGUCACAACCUUCAAGACGACGCAAUCGAGAUGAAGAUCUUCAAGAACGACAUGUUCUUCCUCGAACAGAUGGUGAGAUACAACGCGUUUGGUAUCAUGAUUUGGGAAGGGACUCCCGAUGUUUGGUGAUUUUGCUAGAGGUAGGAACAACUCCUGAUGGUGUUCCGAAUAUUCUAUUUGAAGGAAGUUAUAAAGGCCUCAAUAAUGAUCAAAUAACUGGGUGGUCUUCCCGCCCUGGUAUGGGACACUACCGAUGGUUGAGAGGCCCUAUCAAUCAUCUUCGAAGAGAACAGAGAUCAGAGUAUGUGGCGAAUACAAUUCGUCGCAUCAUAGAUUUCCUCAACAUAUGAUGACCGCUCUUCGUGGAACUCGUCUCUAGAAGGGGGGGUAAUGUCACAGCCAUAAUCAUGUAAGCUAAUAAUUACAUAUAGAAAUAGGUAGAAGUAAGUAAAAGUAGAUAAAAGUAAGUUAAUUAUAUAAUAUUUAAUAUAGAAGCUUCCUAGAAACUUCCUAGACGCUGCUUUGACUUCAUAGGUGUCUUUAAUUGACUUUUUGGAUUAGAAACGUGGUCAACAAGUUGGCCAUGUGCCACACAUGUUGUUAGCUUGAAGAUCAAGCUAACUAUGUGGCCCACACGUAGAAAAACUUGCCUUGUAAGUCAAGGCAUGUGUCCUACAAAGUCAACACAUAUUGGAGGUCCUAUAGAAUGUCGCCACGUAGCCCCUAGUUAGAUAGUAUAUAUAGAGACAAGAGUGAAGGCUUCUUCACUCUUGUCAACUCCUUUCUUGCUUCUAGUCCAGGUUCAAGAGUCUUUAGUUUCUUGUCUUGUGGCAAUAGCCAUUCCAGUUUCCUUUUAAUAUACCUACUUGUUUAUAUUUUGACUUAUUAUAUCGAGAUAGCCUUUUGGUGUAUAUUUUUUCUCAUCGAGUCUUUGUCCUUGACAGUGGUUAGAAUAGUAAUUGUUCAAAUCAACCUAAUCAUGGCUUUGGAAAUUUUUAAAAUACUAAUUAUAAUCCGGUUCAUAGAACAAAUAUGCAGAACGGUGGAAAUAAUCAAGGGGAUAAUCCCAAACUAUACCAAUUCGGCAGUCCAAUUCUUGACCAAUAGCAACUGGUCAACUAGGAUCAUUUACUAUGACUACCUGGAAUCGGCCUAGUAGAUAUAUUCCAAUGGAGACUCUAAAUGUACUUGGCGAUAUGGACCAAAAACCACUACGUUGCUACCAGUAUUGGCAAAUUGGUCAUUAUGCCAGUGAAUGCCCUAAUCCAAGGUUUACAGACAAAUAUGCUCUACUAUGUGGAAAUUACAAGCAAUCGAGUUAUUUUCAUUAUCAAUGCAAUGUUCCAUUUAACCUUAAUAAUCAUGAUCAGAAGAUACAAUCAAUUGUGUAAAAUAUAGAAGAAAAAUAUAACAGGACACAGGAUUCACCAGUUCAUCGGGUAGAAGUAGUUCAAGCUAUCCUUACAAGAAGUCAACAAAAGGGGAAAGAACCAAUUCAACAUUUGGGUGAUUCUGAAGCAAAGGGCCAAUUGGAUCCAAUUACAGGGACAUCCAAUCCAGGUCCUGACAUGGGACCCUUACUCAAUAUAAGACCUGAAUUGGUUGUGCACCUUAAUGAGGUACUGAUUACGGAGGCUUCGAUUCCGUUUCAAGCUAUUCCGUUGUCGUACUGUAAUUACUUACAGUAUGUAAAAAUUAGUGAAAACAUGUAAUAUGUUUAUAAGUCUUAAUGUGAGUUAGAAUAGUAAGUAUGUUAAUUUAAAAUGAAUUGAAAUAAGAAAAAUUAUUUGGAAGUUAAUCUAGUUUGAUUAUAGAGUUUAUAUUAUAUAGGAUUUAGAUAGUUAGUAUAAAGAUUAAGGGAAGGGAGGAGUUAAAAGAUGAAAAUAUAACUAGAAGGAGGCUUAUUGGGAAGGAUGAAAGUAAGGCAUGGUUGGAUGAAGGCAAGGGGUGAAGAACUUCAUCCCUAUUGGUCGAAUACCAUGCCCAAUGGGAUUUGAGGAGGCUGCCCGAGGCCAUAUUAAGAAUUAGGGUUCCUCUUUCGAGGCCAUUCGAGCUUUUGAGGCUAGGGUCAGAAGGUUUAGGGUUUUGGGUAUAAUUUGGGUGAAGAUUUUGUGUGAUUUCGAGUUUUUAUGGAAAAGAUAUGAAUGUUCAAAGAUAAGGUGUCAAUUUCGUACCUACUGUCACUUCUUUUGGGCAUCACAUACGAAUACGGAGAGCAACGGAAGAUCGGCGACUGGAUUUGGAGGGAGCAUUUUCUCGGCUACACAUUCUACUUACUGUAUAGUGAAUUCUAAGAUUGGAUGAAGGAGUUAUGAGGCGUUGAAGACAGCACUUGUAAUUUGAAGGCAGUAAGUAUAUCGUUUUGUUGCUAGUUAUAGGUGAAGCCAUAUCUUGAGUUUUUGGACGAAUUUUUGGCUCAAAAUUUCCACAAGUGUGUGUAAUUGGGUUAAGAAGCUUUAUAUCAAAGUUUCAUAGUAUUUAAAUAAUUACUUUGUGAGAUAUGAAGGAAGUUGUACACGGGUGUAAAAAAGCUAGGGUUUGAAGCUACAGUUAGGAUUUUCAAGAUAUCACAAGAUCCAAGACGAAUUUACGGUUGAAUUUUGGUGUGGUAGUUGCUAAAGAUAUAUCAGUACUCCAUGUAAACUUUGGAGUUGUUUAGACGGUUAGAUCGUAAGUUAUGAGCUGUUGAACUUCGGGAAAAAUUCCUCAUAAGGAUAUAUAAGUUUUUUAUAACACCUUAUCAAGUAUUUUGGUGUUCUUUGGAUUUUAAGGCUUGUAUAUUGAUGUAAUUGCUCCAAAGGAGAGGAGUUUAUAUAUAUAAAAUUGUUAUCCUUAUAUUUCAAACUUGAUUGAGUAUUUAGUAACAGCCAGAAGCCCAGCGCUUUCUUGAGGCAAACUCUCUCUACCCCGACACCGUUCUCUAUAUAGUUUCGAAAAAUGUCUUUUUUGUUGAAAGAUCUUCUUAGAGGCAUGAAUUUCAAGGAACUAAUAUCAACCCAAUUAGAAAAAUAAUCUUACUCAUUGAAAGACCUGAUUUUACAGGCUUCGUCAAAUUUAGUUCCAGUAGCUUUAUCAAUUUUCAAUAUAGAGAAAACCUAUUCACCUGCGUCGGUGUCUAGGACUAGAAAGAAGAAAUGAACAUUAGAAAUGACCACUAAUACAGAACCAUAUGAUAUUCUAAAAGAUUUGGAUACCAUAUAACCCACGAUCUCUAUGAAGCAACUAUUGGCGGUAGUACCUAAGUGCCAAACUUUCUUGAAUUGAUAGAGUGUUAGUAUCGAGAGUGCAAGUAGAUGGAGGAUCUAGUAUAAAUCUUAUGAAUGUCGCUACAAUGGAGGAGUUGGAUUUGGAUCACUUAGUGCCUACUACAGUAGUUUUGAGAAUGGUUGACUCGAGUCGAGUUAAAACUAUGGAUAAGGUAAUGAUAAAAUUGUGCUUCAAAUGUAUCCUGUCGAAUAUCAUGCAGAAACUCAAGUUUCUAGUUCAAAAUUCACAUCGAAUUGUGAAGAUGAGUCUACAGAAGAAGAAAUUGGUAUACUUGACUCAAUUUAUGCUGAUACAAGGCUAAUUGUAGAGCACACUAGAAUGAAAUAUCAAUGCAAGGGACCGGGAGAGUACUUAGUUGUUUCAAAUGUUAUUGACGAUUCUGAUCAUAUGAUUACAUAUUAGAUGAAUAGACAGGAUGUUAAUCAGGUAAGUGCUAUAGAACUGGAGUUCGAAAGUUUUAAUGUGUCUGAUUUUAUGAAAGAUUCUAGAAUUGAGCAGAAUAUUAUUCUAGAGACUCCUGAAAUUCUACUAUGUCAACUAAUUAAUUAAGGUAUGGGAGAGGCUCCCCAAAUCAUUCAGAUUUAUGAUGGUAUAAAAAAUAAGGAAAAAAAAUUUAGGUGGAUUACUUCUUAAUGCAUAAAACUACUUUCACAUGCUCGUAUGUAGAUUUGAAACAAAUUCUAGCUAAAAUUUGUGUGCAUUAAAUUAUAUUGGAGGAGUAUUGAAGAACAAGUACUUUGAAGACACAACACUUAGCAUUAGCAAGGUUGCACACAAAGAGAGUAUGGAAUAAGAUGUCUCUCACUUCCAAUACCCAUUACUUAUAGAUAGUGGUUGCUGCCCUAAAAGACAACUUCUACUCUUUGAUUUUUACAUACAUGGCCCUAAGAUCCUUUUGGCAUCUCACGAGCCUUGAGGGUAUCGUAUGACACAUACUAAUAACUCAUACUUAAUCUUUGGAUAUUCCCUUAUUAAUACUUUAUCGUUUUGACUUUGACUCUUAGUCCAUGACUUCGUCCUAUAUCCAUUGGAUGCCUUUACCAUAUACCAAGAGUCAAAUCUUUGACCACUAGCAACUUACCUAAGUUAAUAUCCUCUAUAAGGUAAUUUAUUCUACUUUUACUUUAAUACUUUGACAUUGCUAUUGGUCAAAUGGCUUUUAAUCCUAAUGCCUUUGUCAACAUGUGGUGUCUAUCUUGUACUAAUACGUUUGUCAACAAAUCAGCAAGCAUUUCCUCCAUUGCAUAAUACUUCAUAUCAAUCACUCCCAUUUCAAUCUUCUCUCUUAUAAAGUGAUGUUGAAUGUCAAUGUGCUUGGUCCUUGAAUGAUGCUUUGGAUUCUUUAUAAAUGCAAGACAUCCUUGAUUGUCACACUCCAUUAGAGUUGCUUCUAUUUGCACAUCUCCAAUGUCCUCCAAAAGUUGUCUCAACCAUAUUGCCUCCAUUGCACCAUGGCUUGCUGCCAUGUACUCCGCUUCCAUUGUUGACCUUGCAAUGGUUGGUUGUCUCUUGCAAUUCCAUGAAAUUUCUCCCAUUCCAACAAAGAAUACAUAGCCUAUUGUUGAUCUUCUAUCAUUUGUAUUUCUAGCCCAAUCUACAUCACAAUAACUAUGCAAAUUAAUGUUAUCACCUCCAAGGCAUAAUUUGAAGUUCAAAGUGCCUUUUAAGUACCUCAUGAUCCUUUUGAUGGUUGCCCAAUGGAUUGGUCCAGCCUUUGACAUGUGUUGACUCAUAACACUUACCGCAUAUGCAAGAUCAACCCUUGUGCCAACUAUUGCAUACAUCAGUGAGCCCACUGUUGCCUUGUAUGGAACACCUUGCAUUUGACCUUCAAUUUCAGCAAACUCUUCAUCCGUGAGCUUCAUCAACUUCAAGUUUGCCUCCAAUAGUGUUCCAAUAGGCUUACACUCUUCCAUGUUGAAUUGUUUUAACACUUCUUCAAUGUACUUACUUUGGCUCAUUGUAAUGGUCUUCUUAUCACAAUCUCUUACAAACUCCACUCUUAAACAAUAGUGAAGCUCUUCCAAAUCACUCAUUUCAUACUCCUUUUCUAACUUUGCGUUCAACCAAUCCAUCAUCUUCAAUGUAUUGGUUAAGAUGAUUAAAUCAUCAACAUAGAGGAUGAAAAUCAAUAUGAACCUAUUUGAUUGCAUCAAAUAUAAGGAAUGAUCAGCCUCACUCCUUACAAAUCUUUCACUCACAAAGAAUGUAUCAAUGCGUUGGUACCAUGCCCUUGAUGAUUGCUUUAGUCUAUACAAGGAUUUCUUCAACUUACAAACAAGAUGUUGUUUGCUUUCUUCAACAAAUCCUUGAGAUUGCUCCAUGUAGAUAUCUUCUUUCAAACUUCCAUUCAAGAAAGCUGUCUUUACAUCCAUUUGAUGCAUCUCCAAGUCCAAUUCUGCCCCAAUUAACACAAUGGUUCUAAUGGUGGUGAAUUUGGCCACAAAAGCAAAUGUCUCAUUGAAAUCCAUACCAGCAACUUGUGAGUAGCCUUUAGCAAUCAAUCUAGAUUUGUAACUCAUAAUAUUACCCAUUGCAUCCCUUUUGAUUCUAAACACCCACUUACAACCAAUUGAAGAUCGAUUUGGUGGAAGUUGAGUCAAUUCCCAUAUUCUAUUGUCCAUGAGUGAUUUGUACUCUUUUUCCAUAGCAUUCUUCUACUUCAAUGCAUGCGUGGACUUCAUUGCAUCACAUAAACUCAAUGGAUCAGCAAGAAAUACAACAUUGGCAUGUUCUUCACUUACUUGAGGAAAGAUGUGGUCCUUCCACUAUUCACCAUGUGAUUUUCUUUCUCUCAAAGGAUAUCUCCUUUCAUUUGAAAAAGACCCUUCUUCUUGCAUUCCAUCCUUCUUCUUCUUCAAUGCUUGUCUUUUCUCACUCAAAGGUUGAUAUUCUUCAUCAUUAUCAUCACCUUCAAUAUCUUCAUUCUCUUCAUUGUUGGAUCUAGCAAUUGAAGGCAUACUAUGAUUUACCUUCUUUGGCACUUCAUCUUGAUUUCUAUUUCCUCCAUCUUCAUUGUCAUCAUCAUCUUCUUCUUCUUUUUUCUUUUCUGAACUUGAAGAUGUGUCCACAAACUCACCUUCACUUCUACUUGGAUACUCUUGCAAGUAUUCAAAAGCACUCUUAUGCUCCAAAAACUCUACAUCACGACUUUUGAUGAUCUUCUUGGUUUCUAAACACAUCAGCCUAUAUGCUUUGGUACCUUCACAAUAUCCAACAAAUACACAUUUUGUACCUUUUGUAUCAAAUUUCGACCUCAUACAAUCUAGUUACUUUGCAUAAGCAAUGCAUCCAAAAAUCUUCAUGUGUGAAACACAAGGUUUCUUCCCACUCCAAGCUUCUUGUGGAGUCAUUGAUGUAAGUGUACUUGUAAGGCACCUAUUUCUUAUGUACACCUCAUUUACCACAGCUUCUAUCCAAUACUCAUGCCCAAGGUUUUGUGUAUGAAGCAUACUCCUUGCCAUCUCCACAAUGGUGCGAUUUGCUCUUUCAGUAACUCUAUUUUGUAGUGGAGUGUAAGGAAUAGAGAUUUAUCUUGCGAUAUCUUGAAUCUUUAUGAAUUCAUCAAAAUGCUUUGACAUGUAUUCACUUCUAUUGUCCAUUCUCAACACUUUGAUCUUGCACUUACAUUGUUUUUCUAUAAGAGCCUUAAACUCCUUAAAUCUUGAGAAACAUUCACUUUUAGCUUUAAUGAUGUAAAUCCACACCUUUCUUGAAAAGUCAUCUAUGAAUGUGACAAAAUACCUUUCUCCUCCAAUUGAUGGUGUCUUCAUUGGUCCCCAAACAUCAAAGUGUACAAUCUCUAAUAAUUUUAUUGCAUGUAUUGUAACUCCACUUGAAAAUGAAGCCUUUUGUUGUUUGCCUUGUAUACAUCCUUCACAAGCAAGUGUCAUGGCAUUGUGGCUGAAUUAACCAAGAUCCAAGCCACUUACCAUAAAUUGGACCUACUUCAUGCAUUUGGCAUUCAAAUGACCAAGUUGUUGAUGCCAAAUUCCAAAUUUGUGUUGAUCUUGUGAAAAAUCAGCAAAUGCCACCACUUCAACUCCAUUCACCUUCUUGCAAUUGAUGAAGUAGAGAUUUCCAUCUUUAAGGCCUUUGACAACAUGUUAGCCAUCCAAUGUCUUGACAAAACAUCCAUUCAUAUCAAAUUAAACCUUAUAACCAUGUGAUACAAGUUUACUCACCGAAACGAGGUUCUUCUUCAUUUUUGGAACAUGUAGGACUUCCUUCAAUGUAAUCCUCUUGAUUUGGUCCUUUACAACAAUCUCUAACACAAUGGAACCAUAUCCAAUGGCUUGCACCAUACCAUUGUCUCCCAACUAUACUUUUAUUGUUGGAAUUUCUUCAUAAGUGUUAAAUGAAUACUUGUAUGGUGUCAUGUGCUUAGUAGCACCUGAAUCUAUAAUCCACUUCGAAAUAGAAGCCAUAGAGGCUCCUUCCCUUGCCAUGAAAGCAUACUCAUCUCCACCAAAAUUAUCACUAGCAUUUUUUGCAUUCUUUCUAUCUCCUUUUUUGGCCUUAUAGCAAUUUCUAGUAAAAUGACCUAAUUUUCUACAAAUAUAGUAAUUCCUCAUAUUACUUUUUGAAUUAUCACAUUGGUGAGAACAGCUACCUUUGCCUUGAAAAUAGAGCCAAAUCAUCACUUGCAAGCUCCUUUUCUUUCUUUUUGGUAACUUCAUGGGUAAGUCUUGAUGUGACAUAGUUCAUAGUAAGCUCCUUCAUGUUGAUGGACUCCAAUACCACAAUGAAGUAGUUGUAGGAUUCAGGAUGAUAAGAACAUUGUGUUGACAUUGCUCAUGAGCCUUCACAUCAGCAUUGUCACUUGGAACGUCUUCACUUUCAUCAACAAUGUCCGAAAGGUCUAAUGAAGCUAACAAGAGCUCCAUUUUUUUCUUCCAAUGGUAAAAGUUGUCACCUUUAAACUUUUCAAUCACUCUCAAGCUUUCACCUUCACUUGAAGCCAUGUUUGGGGAAGGGAUGUAUGAAAGAAAAUCAAAAAAAGAGAAGAUAGAACUCUCAAAAUCAACAAGAAGAUGUUGUUGCAUUAGAAACCCAAAAUUCCCUCUUUGUAAUUAUACAAGUGAUUUCACUCUUUGAUCACUCUCAACUUCACACAUAAGACUUCUCACAAGUCUUAUACUCUAUCUAAACCUCUUGCAUAAGCUUUGCUACUCUUCAAUUACUCCUCUAACGACACAAAAUACUUCUUAUAAUAAUAGAAGAAUCUCUUAUGAAGUUAAGUAUAUGAAAGUACAAAGUUAGAUCAUCAAUGAUAAAACUCAGCAAAGAAAUAUAAUAUUCAAGUUCUAAAAUAUCAUUAAAUAGAGUCUAACAACAACCAAGACUAUCAAUUCACUUAACAACAAGUAAGAAUAAAAACUACAUCAACAACUAGAUGCAUAAGAAGGGUGAAUCUGCAAGGUUGGACACAAAGAGAGUAUGGAAUAAGAUGUCUCUCACUUCCAAUAUCCAUUACUUAUAGGUAGUGGAUGCUACCCUAAAAGAUAACUUCCACUCUUUGACUUUUACACACAUGGUCCUAGGAUCCUUUUGGCAUCUCAUAAGCCUCGAGGGUAUCCUAUGACACAUACUAAUGACUCAUACUUAGUCUUUGGAUAUUUCCUUGUUAAUACUUUAUCCUUUUGAUUUUGACUCUUAGUCCAUGACUUCGUCCUAUAUCCAUUGGAUGUCCUUAUUAUAUACCAAGAGUCAAACCUUUGACCACUAGUAACUUACUUAAGUUAAUAUCCUCUAUAAAGUAACUUAUUCUACUUUUACUUUAACAAGGAGAAUUCUACACUAGUACAUCAAAGACAACAUCGACUUAAUCUAAAAUACUCACUUAUCGUAAAAGAAGAACUAUAUAAACUCUUGGAAGUUCAAUUUAACUAUCUAGUUCCUUUCAGUGUAUGGGUUUCAUCUAUUGUUAUGGUACCAAAAAAUAAUGAAAAAGUUCUCAUCUUUCAAGAUUUCUAAAAAUUAAAUGCGGCUAUCAAGAAGGAUUGUUUUUCUUUACCAUUCACAGAUAGUAUAUUGGAUGUUAUCGUUGGACAUAAAUAUUAUUCAUUUCUUGAUGGAUUUUCUGGUUAUAAUUAAGUUAAAAUUACAAAAGAAGACUAGUUAAAAACUACUUUUAUUACGAAUUAAGGGACCUUUGCCUAUAAAGUUAUGCCAUUUGGACUUUGUAAUGCACCAGCUACAUUUCAAAGGAUAAUGAUGCAAGCGUUCCAAGAUUAUCUACGAAUUUUAAUGGAAAUAUUUCUAGAUGAUUUUUGUACAUUUAGUACAAUAGUCAGGCAUUUAGAAUGUCUAGGUCUAUGUUUGAAUCAAUGUACCAAAUAUGGAAUUUCUUUAAAUUUAGAAAAGUACCAAUUUGGUCUGUCUUUUGAUAAACUUUUGGAUCAUAUAGUUUUGAUGGCAGGCAUUGCUAUAGAUCCAAAUAAAAUAAAGAUUAUAUUAGAAUUAAAGCAACCAGAUAUUCUUAUGUAUCUAAUUUUAUAUAAACAAGGCAAGGAUGGAGUUUUGCGAUGUUGUAUUUAUCAAACUGAAGUGAAUACUAUAUUGGAAGGUUGCCACUUAGACAGUUGUGGUGGACAUUUUGUGGAAGAUAACAUGGCUCAUAAAGCUUUACAAGCUGGUUGUUGGUGGCAAACAAUGCUUGCACAUGCCCACCAAUUUGUCCAUCAUUGUGAUCCACGUUAGAGAAUGGGUCGACCUAUUGGAACUUCAAUGCCAUUGGUACCAAUUUUGGCUCAAGCGCCUUUUGAAAAAUGGGGAAUUAGUUUUGUAGGACCAAUUACACUAGCCUCGAGAAAUGGACAAAAAUAGUAUAUACUGAUAGCAACGGAUUAUGUAACAAAAUGAGCUGAAGCCAUAGCUACAAAAACCGAUAGUACAAGUAUAGUAGCAAUUUUUUUAUAUGAAAAUAUUAUUACAUGGUUCGGUUGUCCAUGAGAAUUGGUUAGUGAUCAAAAAACUCAUUUUAUAAAUAGUAUAAUCAAAGCACUCACAGCUAAAUAUGAGAUAAAAUAUCUUACGACUACACCGUAUCACCCUAGAGUCAAUGGACAAACGGAAAAGACUAAUGGAAGUUUAUGUAAAAUCUUAACAAAAAUAAUUUCAAGAGUGGGAACAGAUUGAGACACUAAGUUGUUCAAAGCUUUAUGGGCAUACCGUACUGCAAAUAAAGUUACUACCAAUGCUACCCCUUUUCAAUUGGUUUUUGGCCAAGAAGCAAUAUUACCUAUUGAAUUGGAAGUCCAAAGUUUACAAAUUGCUAUAGAUAAUAGAUUGAGAGAUCAUGAUUCAUUACGGCACCAUUUAGAAGAAUUAGAAAAAUUGGAUGAAACUAAAGCCAAUGCAUUAAUGAUAAUGGAAACUAUACAAAAAUGAAGGAAAACUUAUUAUGAUAGUAAGCUUAGACCAAAGACUUUUAUGCCAAAUGAUUUGAUACUUCAUUAUGAUAGUCGAUUUAAAAAUUUUCUAAGAAAAUUUUAAGUUCGAUGGCAUGGGCUAUAUCGAGUUAUUGACGGAUUUCCAAAUGGUUCAAUACAAUUGGAAGAUUUUAUGGAUACUAAAUUUAUAACAUAGAUCAAUGGCAAUCAGCUUAAACUUUACUAUACAUAAAUCUGGGAUGGAUUUUUUGUUAUAAAAGGGGGGGGAUAAAUAAUGAUGAUGAUAGGAUAGUAAAUGUAAGGUGAUAAGAAGUGAGGAAUAUGGAUGGGAUUAGUGACUACGGUAGUAAAGCCUGUUUGUCAGACCUAGUUAGUAGGAUAUUUCAUCAUGAUAAAUUGUGGAAAAUAAGGGAGAGUCGACCCAAUUGAUUGAACCAUAGUAAGAAGUAGGAGGGGGGCACUUGAUAAGCAUCGUGUUUUCUUUUGUGUAAGCAACCGUUGUCGUAAUACAUGAAGUCUUGCUUGAAAAUGCUCCGGACACCUGAUUGUGGAAGGAAGAAUAAAAAUUGCAAUAAAAAAACUCUAAUUCUAAUAGAAUAUUAACAAUGCUCUAAUUAGACUAUAAUAAUGCUAAGCAAGUUUAAUCAAAUCCAAAAAAAUCUCAAAGAAAUUUCAAACAAACAAUAGGAAUUUUUAAAGAAAUAUUAGAAUGAACAAAAAUGUCAUUCAAAUACAUCUCAAUUCAAUCUUAAUUUAAUUGUAGUUAAAAUCCUAUUGAACUUCAUUCAAACUUUAAGCCAAAUUAAUUGAAUAUUAAAUCCUAAUAAAAUCCUAAACUCUAAAUCAAAUCCUACCAAACCCUAAACCAAAUCCUAAUCCAAAUCUUAAAUCCUAAACCAAAACCUAAUCAAAUCCUAAACCCUAAAUCAAACCCUAAUCCAAAUCAUAAAUCCCAAACCAAAUCCUAACCAAAUCCUAACCAAAUCCUAAACCAAACCCUAAUAAUUCCUACAAUAGAUUUAAACCUCAUUAAAUAAUGAAUAAACCGUUGAUCUUAACUCAAAUUUUACACACUUCUAAAAAAAUAAGUUAAAAACAAUUAAAAAAAAAUUGAUAAGGAUCGGAGUUACCAAAUUGACGAUAUCCUCAAAAAUGUGCUCGGGUAUUGGCCAGCCUCCUUCUUCAAUCUUGAUGCCAAUCUUCCAGAGCCAAUAUCUCUUCUUUUUACCGUUCGAUUGAUCUAAAAAUUCUCAUACGCAUAGAAAAACAAGUCUAAUAUCCUCUCAUAUAAGUUUCACUCCAAUCCAACUGAUAGAUUGCAAGAAAUCUCAAAAACCUCUACUGGACCUAAAAUUCUACUUUCUAAGACCUUGAUCAACUUAAACCUCAAUAUUCCUAAAUUCAACCAUUAGAUCAAGCUCAAAUUCACGAUACAUAUUAAACACAACUAUAACCAUAAAUCCACAAAAUUUCACCUGUAGAUCUAUUAUAAAACUCUUGAAAUCAUCCAAAUUGUAAACUCUAUUUUAUUUCAUAAAAUCCAAGUCAUCUGAAACAAACCUUGACUUUGCAAAGCUCUUACAAAGUCAUAUCAACUCCAAAUCACCCAAAAUCAAUGCUUAUAGAAAGCUUAUUUAUUCUGCUAUCAAAUCUCAUUCUUCGAUCUCCAAAAGAAUCCCGGAGUCGUCUUCGAGACUCGAUUUUGAGCCCCAGGGUCUGAUUUCGAUCCUGGUUCAUAACCGGCCCUCUCCGGGUAUCAAUAUCUAAUUUUUCUAAGUAACUUUUUCUAGAAUUUACUCUUAACUUCCUUCUAAAGAUGCCUAUAUCAUUUAUUUUUCCAAUCUACUUUGAUUUGCCUUACUUAUGGUGCUACAAAGUAAGUAGAAGUCACCUUUCUAAAAGGCAGCAUUGGUACCUUUUAAUUUUUCUACCCCUUUGACUAUUAACUAUAUUUCUAAGAUAAUUUUUUUUAAUAAUUUGAACUAAGACCUCUUAAAUUAUAAUAAUCUCCACAAUCUUUCAUCUAUUAAUCUUGUUACAUCAUGACACCGUGUAUGUGUGUUUUGAGAGAUUAGUUGUAAGUGCUUGCUUGUGUUAGAAUACAAUGGCGAUUGAGAAGAUUAAGAGGCAGUUGAAUAGGGAGAGAAACAGCGCAAUGUAAGGUGCAAGGAUGAGUUGCCACCAUUAGGGUGUAUUAUUGUGAUUAAUGUGGAGCCGAUCCGAUUGCAUGUUUGUUGGACUAAGAAGAAGUAGCAGGAUUUUUGAAGAGUGCAUAGGCAUGGAUUUUUGUACAUUUUAUAAAAUUUACUACCAAUUGAUGUUGCGCUCGUGGAGGUUAGAAUUAAGAAGAAAUAGAUGGCAAAAAAGGAGAAGAUGGCAAAUGUGGUAUUUGAGAAAUCAAGGAUAGAGACCGAUUGGAAGAAACGGCAAGAGCGGCUCAGGUAGAGGUUGCAAUUUUGCAGACUAAACUAGCCGCAUUAGCAAAGGAGGCCAAUAAUUUAGUAUAGACCAAUAUGCCAGUUUUAGCAACAACACCUUUGGAGAUACCUUUGAAACUGACAAAAGAAUGUCAGAAGAUGUUGGAAGAGUGCGACAACCAAAUUGUCCAUCUUGAGUCUCAAGUACGGGAAUUGGAUUUGUUGAAUGAAGAUCUGAUGGUACAUUUGGAUGGAAAACCAUCGAAUAUCGAGUCAGACAAGAAAGAUGUAGCAGAAGAGAAGGUCACCAAUUCAAAGGGUGGUAAGCCAACACCAUUGACUGAAGAAGCCAAUGCUACUACGUCUUUACAAGUUGAGGCUAAAUAAUGUUUACGAAGACGCUGCAUAGAUAGGAGUGGGACUAUGUAGAAUAUAUAAAUAAAUUUUGUGGUAAGUUAUUGGUUGGUUAUUGACAACCUUAAAAAUUAGACUUAUGGUUAGGCAGUUUAGUUGGUAGCAGUAGGUUGUUAGUGGGACAAAUGGUUAAGAAUUCAAAGGUUCAUAACCUUUGAAAUGUGGUGGCCGACGGUCCAUCUUUUGGUAGGAUAAAGAGGUUGAGAAAAGGGAGAUCGGGGCCAGACUAUGAGAGUCAUAAGCCGGGAUAAGCUUGGUGCUACUUCUUUGUUUACUUUACUUUUAUUAUUUGCUUAUGAGGAAUUAUGAUUGAGAGAAGUAUUGUUGAAACUGUGAUUAGAAUAUUAUGGAAUAUGACUUUGGACUGACCAUUUUGGAAAAAAUCUGUAACCUUGAGAAUUGAAAUUAUCAAAUUGUGUUGUGUU
rnacentral:lncRNA from 1 species